AGUGAACGCCGGCGGUAGGCCUAACACAUGCAAGUCGAACGGCAGCACAGUAAGAGCUUGCUCUUACGGGUGGCGAGUGGCGGACGGGUGAGGAAUACAUCGGAAUCUACUUUUUCGUGGGGGAUAACGUAGGGAAACUUACGCUAAUACCGCAUACGACCUACGGGUGAAAGCAGGGGAUCUUCGGACCUUGCGCGAUUGAAUGAGCCGAUGUCGGAUUAGCUAGUUGGCGGGGUAAAGGCCCACCAAGGCGACGAUCCGUAGCUGGUCUGAGAGGAUGAUCAGCCACACUGGAACUGAGACACGGACCAGACUCCUACGGGAGGCAGCAGUGGGGAAUAUUGGACAAUGGGCGCAAGCCUGAUCCAGCCAUACCGCGUGGGUGAAGAAGGCCUUCGGGUUGUAAAGCCCUUUUGUUGGGAAAGAAAAGCAGCAGGUUAAUACCCCGCUGUUCUGACGGUACCCAAAGAAUAAGCACCGGCUAACUUCGUG
rnacentral:rRNA from 1 species